AUGGCUAAUGUGCUAAGAAGGAUGGAUAGUGAUGUGCCGGCGACAGGAGUCUUCCAUGGUUAUACGCUAGAUGCAAAAAAGGAAUUUCUUCGUUUUGACAAUGAUGAGAGUCGCUUCAAAGCUCUUAUAGAUAUCAUUGACAAGAGGUGGGACAACAAACUCAGGACGCCACUAGAUUUGGCUGGGUACUUUCUCAAUCCCUACUAUUACUAUCCAAACAAGAAUACAAUCGAGAAUGAUGGAUCAUUCAGGGCAGCCGUCAUCCAUUGCAUUACAAGGAUGAUUCAAGAUGAAAUGUUGCAAGAGGAGAUUAUUGACGAACUCAACAUAUAUGAAGAAGAGGCUGACUCUUUUGGAACGGACAUUGCCACACGGCAGAGAAGAAACAAAGAAAUUGAUCCAGGUUAG
rnacentral:rRNA from 1 species